CACCUCUCUUUUCCCUCUCCCCUGAGUCAUCCUUCUCCUUCCUCGUGCCACCGAUUUCUCUGAGAGAGAGAGAGAGAGAGAGAGAGAGAAAGGGAUUGAGAGCAGACUAUUUUGGCUAAAUAGCUUCCCCCACUUCUCUCUCCCUCUCCGCUGAAGCUUCUCGGUUGUCAACUAAUCUCAGGAGAAUGGGAAGUAAUGGUGCGGAUGCAAUUCCUAGGGUUGAUGAGGCUGGAGGUUCUGAACCUACAAUUGAAAUAAAAAUAAAAACAUUGGAUUCUCAAACAUAUACUCUAAGAGUUGAUAAACAGGUGCCAGUUCCUGCUUUAAAAGAGCAAAUUGCUUCCAUCACUGGUGUGUUGUCAGAUCAACAACGCCUAAUAUGCCGAGGAAAGGUUCUAAAGGAUGAUCAACUCCUCUCUGCCUAUCAUGUUGAAGAUGGUCAUACCUUACAUCUUGUCGUUCGGCAGCCCUUUCCACCGUCAUCUGAGGGUUUACCCAAUCAUGCAGCAACUGAUCCUGCUUCAACUACAAGCCAUGGGCACAGUAAUCAGGUACCUCCUGGUUUUGUUAUUGAAACUUUCAGUAUGCCUGUUCAGGGGGAAGGAGUUCCUCCGGAAAUCAAUCGGAUUAUCUCUGCUGUUCUGGGCUCUAUUGGAUUUUCAAACAUUGUAAAUGGCAGUGAAGGGGCUGAUGCUAGGGAUCAUGACACACAAAAUCCUACCCAGUUUCAACUCGAAGAGGCUGCCGUGAGGGGUCCAUCAGAUAGAUCUCACAGUGCUUACGGAAUUCCAUCAGCAGUUUCUUUGGGGCAUCUGCAGGCCCCUGUGAUUCCUGGUUCUUUGACUACGCUAUCCCAAAAUCUAAGUCAUUUGAGGCAUGAAUUUGAUGCCAUUGUGGCAGGCAGAGGCAGCAGAGACAAUGCUCAGGCAACUGCCACCCAUGAGAUUGGAGAGAGAGGUACUAAUUCCUCACUGCGCACUGGCACUGUACAAGAAGGAUUUCCAACACCAGCAUCCUUGGCAGAAAUUAUGCUCUCUACCAGACAAAUGCUCAUUGAACAUGCAGGAGAAUGCCUACUCCAACUUGCUGGGCAACUAGAGGAUCAAGUGAAUGUGACUGAUCCCUCUGUGCGGUUAAGCACUCAAUCUAGUGCAAUGAGAACUGGCAUUCUAUAUCAUAAUCUAGGUGCAUUUCUACUAGAACUUGGUCGUACAACCAUGACGUUACGUCUGGGUGAAACACCGUCAGAAGCCAUUGUUAAUGCUGGACCUGCAGUUUUCAUAAACCCAUCUGGUCCUAAUCCUAUCAUGGUUCAGCCUCUUCCUUUUCAACCGGGGACAAGCGUGGGUGCCAUUCCUAUGGGAGCUGUGCAGCCAGGUUCUGGUUUGGUUAAUGGACUUGGUACUGGCUUUGUUCCAAGGCGUAUUGAUAUACAAAUACGCAGAGGUUCUUCAAUAAGCACGCCAAAUAGUAAUCAAGAGCUGCGUAGUGAUACUCAGCAGCCCUCUGGGCACAGAAACUCAGAAACAAGUUCUGGUGUUGAAAACCUUACUAGUACAAGGACUUCAAGGGUCUCGGAGGGUUCAUCUUUUGCUGGAGAGGCUGGAGUACGGAUGGUACCAGUUAGGACCAUGGUUGCAGCUGUACCUGGUCCAUUCAGUCACCUACCUGCAGAUCCGUCCAGUAAUUCAAUAGGUUUGUACUAUCCAGUUCUUGGAAGAUUUCAACAUGUGGCGUCUGGACAUGCAAGUGGUGAACAAGGAUCUCAAGCAUCUGGUGAGCGGCCGACUGAUUCAGUAGUACAGCAGCAUAACAUAGAUGGUCCUGCAAGAGAUGGAUCAUUUCCAACACCUAAUCUAAGACAACAGGAGCCAUCUAAUGCACGCAGUGUGAGUAUCAACAUUCUGUCAGCUGGUGGAACCCAGAACAACCAGGAUUCUGAUAGACAGCUCCCGAGCAAUGUUAUGCAGUUUUUAAGGAACCUCUUUCCUGGUGGGGAAAUUCAUGUUGAGGAAGCCAGUCCACCGGGAACAAUUCGAGACCCUGUCCCACAGAACGAGGGGACAUCUAACGGUGUUGCAACGGCAACAGAAGCAGAGCCAAGAGUGAGCGAUGAAGGAGUAUUUUUGUCUAAUUUGCUUCAUCAGAUCAUGCCCUUGAUAUCUCAACAAGCAAGUGUAGAGCCAGAUACAAGACUUAUGGAAGAAGCAAACACUUCUGAGAAUACAAUGCCUUGCGAUUCUUUAACUCAGGGAGUUAUGGAUUGGUAUUCUUGGUAGAGCUGGGCUGAGUUGGGCUAUGCCUAAGAGGGUGGUGGAGGUUUUAGCCUGCUGGAACAGAAAUCACAAUAGCUCUCAACUGGAUGCAGCUUGGAGGAUGAUACCAUUGUGCUUAUUCUGGUUAACUCUGGUGUGGGGCCAUCUCGGCGACCAAGUGAUGGUGAAACAAGUCCUCCAGAUUCAAAACGCCGAAAGACACAGUGAUUUGUAGUGAGAUUGAGGAUGCUACCUGCAGAUGUGAGAUCAAUGAGACCAAAAACAAAAAAGAAAAGCAUUAUAUUGGUCAUUGUAGUUUAUUGGUUUUAUUUUUCAAUUUUUUUUUUUCUUGUCAAAAUUCAUGUUAGUCAGAGUUAUAGGAUAAGCUGUUUUCUUUUGCUGUAUUACAUUUUAGUGCUGUAAAACUUGCAAGUUAUAAUUUUUGUUUAUUAUAGUGCUAUCAGUCUCUUUUCAAUGCCUUACUAGUUUGAGAACUUAAUUCGAGAUACACUUGGGAGAGUUUAUGGUUUUAUCACACCUUGGGGCAAAAGACUACCCAUUCAUGUACAUGUAUGUUCUUCAAGGAAUUGCAAUUUGGACUGAUCUA